rnacentral:tRNA from 1 species
GAGUGAUUAGCUCUGUUGGGAGGGCAUCGCCCUUACAAGGCGAGGGUCACUGGCUCAAGUUCAGUAUCACCCACCA